rnacentral:tmRNA from 1 species
CCCCUUUUCUAAAAACUGUUAUUCGUUUAUAUUUAAAAAGCUGUCUUUUCAGCUAUGGUAAUAAAUGGACAAUGAAAUAAACCAAUUGGACCCGGGGGCGGUACCCGGCGCCUCCACCAAAAUAUAAUAAAAUAAAGAUUAUAUUUUUAUGGGGGCGAAACAGGAUCGACAAGGGUGUAAAGAUUGCUCUUUUACUCGGCAUUGUACCACCGUUAUCGGACUAAAUGAGUAGUUGCAAAUGACAACUAUGCGGAAGCACGUCUCAUCGCUGCUUAAGCGAUGCGAAAGCUUCAAACUAAGUCUUAAACCGUCGCAGGUCUAAGCGGGGUUCGAAGGCACCUGGCAACAGAAGCCUUCACU